UACGUAGGGGGCAAGCGUUGUCCGGAAUCAUUGGGCGUAAAGAGCGUGUAGGCGGCCCGGUAAGUCCGCUGUGAAAGUCCAGGGCUCAACCCUGGGAUGCCGGUGGAUACAGUCGGGCUAGAGUCCGGAAGAGGCGAGUGGAAUUCCCGGUGUAGCGGUGAAAUGCGCAGAUAUCGGGAGGAACACCAAUGGCGAAGGCAGCGCGCUGGGACGGUACUGACGCUGAGACGCGAAAGCGUGGGGAGCAAACAGG
rnacentral:rRNA from 1 species